rnacentral:rRNA from 1 species
AUUGAACGCUGGCGGAAUGCUUUACACAUGCAAGUCGAACGGCAGCACGGGGCAACCUGGUGGCGAGUGGCGAACGGGUGAGUAAUAUAUCGGAACGUGCCCAAUCGUGGGGGAUAACGUAGCGAAAGUUACGCUAAUACCGCAUACGAUCUACGGAUGAAAGCGGGGGAUCGCAAGACCUCGCGCGAAUGGAGCGGCCGAUAUCAGAUUAGGUAGUUGGUGGGGUAAAGGCUCACCAAGCCAACGAUCUGUAGCUGGUCUGAGAGGAUGAUCAGCCACACUGGAACUGAGACACGGUCCAGACUCCUACGGGAGGCAGCAGUGGGGAAUAUUGCGCAAUGGGCGAAAGCCUGACGCAGCCACGCCGCGUGAGCGAUGAAGGCCUUCGGGUCGUAAAG